CCUACGGGAGGCAGCAGUGGGGAAUAUUGGGCAAUGGGCGCAAGUCUGACCCAGCAACGCCGCGUGAAGGAAGAAGGCUUUCGGGUUGUAAACUUCUUUUUUCAGGGACGAAGCAAGUGACGGUACCUGACGAAUAAGCCACGGCUAACUACGUGCAAGCAGCCGCGGUAUUACGUAGGUGGCAAGAGUUAUCCGGAUUUAUUGGGUGUAAAGGGCGUGUAGGCGGGAAUGCAAGUCAGAUGUGAAAACUAUGGGCUCAACCCAUAGCCUGGAUUUGAAACUGUCUGUCUAGAGUGCGGGAGAGGCAAGCGGAAUGCGGGGUGUAGCGGUGAAAUGCGUAGAUAUACGGAGGAACACCAGUGGCGAAGGCGGAUUGCUGGACAGUAACUGACGCUGAGGCGCGAAAGCGUGGGGAGCAAACAGGAUUAGAUACCCUUGUAGUC
rnacentral:rRNA from 1 species